rnacentral:rRNA from 1 species
AGAGUUUGAUCCUGGCUCAGGAUGAACGCUAGCUACAGGCUUAGCACAUGCAAGUCGAGGGGAAACGACAUCGAAAGCUUGCUUUUGAUGGGCGUCGACCGGCGCACGGGUGAGUAACGCGUAUCCAACCUGCCCACCACUUGGGGAUAACCUUGCGAAAGUAAGACUAAUACCCAAUGACGUCUCUAGAAGACAUCUGAAAGAGAUUAAAGAUUUAAUCGGUGAUGGAUGGGAUGCGUCUGAUUAGCUUGUUGGCGGGGUAACGGCCACCAAGGCGACAAUCAGUAGGGGUUCUGAGAGGAAGGUCCCCACAUUGGAACUGAGACACGGUCAAACUCUACGGAGGCA